CUUCGGUCAUAGAUUAAGCCAUGCAAGUGACAGUUCCGGCUCGGUCCAAAACUGCGAACAGCUCAUUAACACACUCAGUACCUCAUUGAUGGCGACCCUUAGGGUCUUAUAUGGAUAGCAGGAGAAAACUCGUGCUAAUACAUGCGAUUGUUCCGUCGGAAUUGAAUUACGUCGGAAAAGUUAACUUUACUAGUACAUCAUUCGGUUGAGUGACCUAUCAGCCUGUACUUAGGGCCUUUACCUAGGUAAGCAAUCACGGGUAACGGGCGGUUACCGUCGUACUGCCGGAGAAGGCGCCUGAGAGAUAGCGACUAUACCUAUGGGUAGCAGCAGGCGCGAAACUUUCCCAAUCUUCAACGAAGGAGGGGGUAAUGACCAGUUUUAUACGCCUCUUUAUGGGGAUGUAAAUAGGAUUGCAGCUUCCAACUGCAGCGUAACCUAGCAGAGGGCCAGUCUGGUGCCAGCAGCUGCGGUAAUUCCAGCUCUGCGGGUUUGCUCCCAUAUUGUUGCAGUUAAAACGCCCGUAGUCUGAAAUAGACGUAUGUCUGCAAUAUUUCACUGUGAAUAAAUCAGGACGCUUAGGGUACGGCUACCGGGAAUGACCUAGCGCAGUAUGAGGACUUUGCCCAUUGGGUAAGCUCAAUGAGAGCCAUCGGGGGUAGAUCUAUUCCAUGGCGAGCGGCGGAAUGCUUUGACCCAUGUGGAGAGGAACGAACGCGAAGGCAUCUACCUAGAGGGUUUCUGUCGAUCAAGGGCGAGAGUGGAAGUAUCCAACCGGAUCAGAGACCCGGGUAGUUUCCACUGUAAACGAUGCCGACAGGGGAUUGUUCUUCCAUAAGAGCAGGACUUCCGGAGAAAUCAUAGUUCAUGGGCUCUGGGGGAACUACGACCGCAAGGCUGAAACUUGAAGGAAUUGACGGAAGGGCACACCAGGGGUGGAGCCUGUGGCUUAAUUUGAAUCAACACGGGGAAACUUACCAGGACCAGAUGUUGUUAUGACUGACUUUNUAAAGGGAAUUCAGGAUUUGACUUGUGGUGGUGCAUGGCCGUUGGUGGUGCGUGGGUUGACCUGUCUAGCGUUGAUUCAGAUAACGAGCGAGAUUAUCGCCAAUUACUAAUGUUCCCCUUUAAAGUGGAUACAUUCUAAUUGGGACUCCCUGCGUCUAGCAGGCGGAAGAGGGUAGCAAUAACAGGUCCGUGAUGUCCUUUAGAUGCUCUGGGCUGCACGCGUGCUACAAUGUGAGUUACAAACAGAUUCAACCCCGAGAGGGAGUGGUACUCUGUCAACAGCUCACGUGGUUGGGAUUGACGGUUGGAAUCACCGUCAUGAACCAGGAAUCCCUUGUAAACGUGUGUCAACAGCGCACGUUGAAUACGUCCCUGCCCUCUGUACACACCGCCCGUCGCUCCUACCGAUUGGAUGACUCGGUGAAGUCGCUGGACCUUAGGGGAAGGCAAUUAAACCACGUUAUCUAGAGGAAGGAGAAGUCGUAACAAGGAAGGGCGAAUUCCACAGU
rnacentral:rRNA from 1 species